rnacentral:lncRNA from 1 species
UAAAGUAUAAAACUUUGGGGUAUCAAAAAUGUAAUUAUAUAGGUCCAUACAUAUCAUGGAAUAAUAUAAAAAUGUUUAGUAUGGAUGAACUGUCUAAAUAAUUGUUUAGAUCAAGAAGUGGAUCAAACAUGAGAUAAAUAGGGAAAAACCAAAAUUGUCGAAUAGACCUUGUAAUAGCCCAAAUUUGACCGGGCUUAAAUAAAGCAAAAGAAAAUAGAUAAAUAAAUAAAUAUUUAUUUAUUAAACAGUCCAUUAAAAGUCCAGGUUACAAAGCCCUAACAGUUGGGGCCCAAUGUCUAAGCAUAAUGGACUGACCCGUAUAACCCAAAUACACCCGAAGCCCAACACAUACACCAAACCCAAUAACCCUAUCAGCCCCUAAAACCCCUAGCCCGAUCACAAAACUAAAGUGGCCCAAUUGGCCCAAACCAUUACACCAAGGCAGGAAACCCUAGGGUUUCUGCCUUCUUUCUCCUCGAGCUGUCAGCCCGUCAUCGCUUCUGGAAAGUUCAGGGAGCGUCUGUCUAGCUCCCGAAUCGAGGCCACCAUUCAAGGCACUGUCUCAAGGUCUGUCAACGUCCCAUCAGCACCCCACCGUCUCCACGAAUCCUCACCACCGGACUUCAUGCCUCCAUAAACGCCAGCAGCCCUUUAAUCACCGAGAUUCUCGCGGUCACAUGCAAAAAAUGGAAAGAAAUCAGAACAAAAAUCAGCAGAUAGACCUAAACAGAUAUGGAAAGAAAUUUAAGAUUUCUUUCCAAAACAGAGUAGUUUCUAGGCUAUAAAGUCUUCUUCGAACAUGUAAAGAGGGGGAUUUUUUUUUUACGGACAUACAGAGAGAAUAAUACUAGAAAUACACCACAAAGCUAUUGUACACCAAAGAUUUUUAAUAAUAUACCAGAAAGAUUUCACGAGGAUGAAGGUGACUUAUUAUUCUCUUUCUGCUUUCAUUUCAUUUUUGUCGCAAGCAAUCUGUAUACAAUAUAUUAAUAGACAAAGGAAGAAAAUACCUUGAGUUUCGCCCCGAAAAGCGAAGCUUUUCAGGUCCCGACCGUCGUGUGUGGCGGAGUUGAUGACGGCGCGUGGAGUUGAGCGUGGAGGUCCGAUGAACAGAGCAGACCGGCCUAGGGCCGGAGCUCAAAGGGCUGGGGGACUUUUCAGAGGAUUUCUCUCGUUUUUUUUCUGAACCAAGGGCUAAAU